UUCGGGGGACAGGGUGACAGGUGGUGCAUGGUUGUCGUCAGCUCGUGUCGUGAGAUGUUGGGUUAAGUCCCGCGACGAGCGCAACCCUCGACCUUAGUUGCCAGCAUUCAGUUGGGCACUCUAAGGUGACUGCCGGCUAAAAGUCGGAGGAAGGUGGGGAUGACGUCAAAUCAUCAUGCCCCUUAUGACCUGGGCUACACACGUGCUACAAUGGGCGGUACAAAGGGUCGCGAACCCGCGAGGGGGAGCCAAUCCCAAAAAGCCGCUCUCAGUUCGGAUUGCAGGCUGCAACUCGCCUGCAUGAAGCCGGAAUCGCUAGUAAUCGCGGAUCAGCAUGCCGCGGUGAAUACGUUCCCGGGCCUU
rnacentral:rRNA from 1 species